UACGUAGGUGGCGAGCGUUGUCCGGAUUUAUUGGGCGUAAAGCGCGCGCAGGUGGUGCGGUAAGUCUGUCGUGAAAUCUCCCGGCUCAACUGGGAGGGUGCGGUGGAGACUGCCGGACUGGAGGCACUCAGAGGCCGGUGGAAUUCCCGGUGUAGUGGUGAAAUGCGUAGAGAUCGGGAGGAACACCAGUGGCGAAGGCGGCCGGCUGGGCCAAGACUGACGCUGAGGCGCGACAGCGUGGGGAGCAAACAGG
rnacentral:rRNA from 1 species